GAUCCUGGCUCAGGAUGAACGCUGGCGGCGUGCUUAACACAUGCAAGUCGAACGGGAAAUAUUUUAUUGAAGCUUCGGUUGAUUUAAUUUAUUUCUAGUGGCGGACGGGUGAGUAACGCGUGGGUAACCUGCCUUAUACUGGGGGAUAACAGCCAGAAAUGACUGCUAAUACCGCAUAAGCGCACAGAACCGCAUGGUCCGGUGUGAAAAACUCCGGUGGUAUAAGAUGGACCCGCGUUGGAUUAGCUGGUUGG
rnacentral:rRNA from 1 species